GCCCAAUGAUGAGACCAAGGCGAAUACGAGCUGACUGAACGAGAGUUGGGUUCUUCUUGCCUUUACUGGCAGGUAAUCUUGGCAGUGCAGGGGAGGAUUCCUGUUCUGCUGUAAGGGCUUGCCUACAGUGACUUGGCUGAACCCAAAUUAUUCUUCUACAGUCACAGCAGAGUAAUUGGUGGGAUAAAGCUGACAGUGUGUGCUUGUUUGUGUGUGCUUGUUUGUGUGUGCGUGUAAGAGGCAAGGAGUUCACCCAUCUCUCUUUGCUGUUCAGUUAGUAAUGAGUUGCUUCUUUGGUAAUCUGAGGGCU
ensembl:snoRNA